rnacentral:tRNA from 1 species
GCCUGGUUGGCUCAGUCAGAGGGCAUGGGACUCUUGAUCUUGGGGUUGUGAGUUUGAGUCCCACAUUGAGUG